CAGCUUGGUACAACACAAGCAGAACCUGAGACCAGCAUGGCCUCCACCACACAGCCUGAUGACACUGCACCAGCCUACCAGUCUGCUCCAGCCCAGGUCAACCUACCAGCCUCUCAGUCUGCUCCAGCCCAGGUCAACCUACCAGCCUCUCAGUCUGCUCCAGCCCAGGUCAACCUACCAGCCUCUCAGUCUGCUCCAGCCCAGGUCAACCUACCAGCCUCUCAGUCUGCUCCAGCCCAGGUCAACCUACCAGCCUCUCAGUCUGCUCCAGCCCAGGUCAACCUACCAGCCUCUCAGUCUGCUCCAGCCCAGGUCAACCUACCAGCCUCCCAGUCUGCUCCAGCCCAGGUCAGAAUACCAGCCUCCCAGUCUGCUCCACCCAGACAAUCACCCACAACUGCAAUCCUAAUUGAUUCAAAUGGGAAGUUCUUAGUCCAGGAAAGAUUAUUCCCUAGACACAAAGUGUAUAAGUUCUGGUGUCCUACAACUGAGAGUGCAAUGCAGCUACUCAGUCAGAACAGGAUUGACACCCCUGACAACAUCAUCAUCCACACUGGCACAAACGACCUUCAUGCCAAAGGUGAAAAUGUAUCUGGGGCAGUGAGAAGAGUGGCAGAACGGGCACAGGCUGUGUUCCCAACAACCAAUAUAGUUG
ensembl:lncRNA